rnacentral:lncRNA from 1 species
AGGUUUGUCAAGCUCCAAGUAAGAUGAUGCUUAUAACUUAAUUUCGGCCUUUUGAGAUGAUGCUUAGCACUCUGCUCCGAUUUUUCAAGCUUCAAACGAGUGAUGCUUAGAAUUCAACUCUUGUCUAUCAAAUUAUGGACGAGAUGAUGAUGCUUACAAGCCAGUUAUGGUCUUUCAAGCUCCACGUGAGAUGAUUAUCACAAGUCAGUUAUGGUUUUACGAGCUUCAGAUGAGAUGCUGCCUACAAGUCAGUUUUGAUCUUUCAAGCUGUAGAAGAAAUAAUACUCAAAAGUAAGUUAUACUCUUUCAAACUGCAGAUGAGAUAUUUUCAAAAGUUAGUUAUGUUAUUUCAAGUUCCAGAUGAUGAUACUCAUAAGUCAUAGUCAUAUUUCAAACUUGAGACAAGAUGAUGAUUAGAGGUCCGACGUACAAAAGUCAAAUGUACUGUUUCAAGUUACACAUAAGAUGAUGCUCAAACGUCUCGAAAGUUCGGAUGAGAUGAUGCUCAGAUAUAAGUUGCAGUCUUAAAUUAUUUCUUAUCUGUCCAUUUUAAAAAAAUCAGUCCUAUAAAAUUAACAAUCUUUUCUAUAUACAAUUAACAAGAAAUACGAUGUAUCCAUCCUCCAUCAUAUUCUAUGUUAAAUUUACAUAUGUUUUUUCUUCUUAUUUUUCUAAAAUCCUCAAUCUUACAUCAACUUUUUAUCAAACUUUAUCAAAUGAAAACUUAUAUAAAAAGGCAAUAUGUUCUAACUCUCAACAAAANCGGUUCGAACCGGGAACCGAACCGUGGCCACCUCUAAUUCUAUGUUAAAUUUACACAUACUUUUUAUUUCUUAUUUUUCUAAAAUCCUCAACUCCACGUCAACUUUUUAUAUAAUUUCAUCAAAUGAAAACUUAUAUAUAUAAAACAAUCCAUUCUAGCUCUCAACAAAAAAAAUUAAUUUGAACUCCAUCAUAUUCUAUGAUAAAAAUGGUUGAGAUUAUUAUAAUUUGAACUGUACCAUCAAUUUAAUUUAAUCAAAUCAAAUUAAUUAAAAAAUAAUUUAUAUGAAGAUUAUUUUGUAUGUUAUUAUUAUAAACAGUGUACCAUGAUCUAAAAUUACGAUAUAAAGUUUGUUUUUCGUCGAAUUUCGAUGGAUUACACACUACUAGUUUCUACAAAAAACAAAAAGAGCAAAUAAAGAGAUGAUAAUGCAACAGGAACGAAAAUUUUGGCAACAGGAACGAAAAAUGGUGAAACAGCCAACAAGCAAAUUUCCAUCAGAUGUUGCAUUAAACACCAGAAACAUAUGAUUAAAAAAAUAUAAUCCAAUAACAUUUAUUCUGUGUAUACAAAAUGAUUUCAUGUCCAAAACCCAUCAACAAUGAAACAUAUGUUUUAGAAUGUAUCACACACUAACAGCCUCCAUGAGCCACAAAUAAACCAAAAAACACACAGGCUUUCUGAUCUUGAAAAAGCCCGAGAGAGAGAGAGAGAUUAGAUUGAACAAUUCUGAGCUUGUUUGCUCGUGGUUUAAUCAGUUUGAUGAGAAAUUAAGCAAGAAGCAAUGAGAAUGAAAUUAGAAACAGAAUGGCUGUUUUGGUAAAUCCAAGCUUAUCAGCAGGCCGAAGAAGCUUGGUCCCCAGCUGGAAUCACUCACAGACAAACUUCAAUUUCAUGACACCUCAAAAACAACAAUCACCAAUUCAAUAGAAACAAAGUUAUAGAAUCAAGCUCUGCCAUCGCACAAAACAUAUCUCUCAAAAAUAGAUGAGGAUGAACCUAAGUAGAUGUGUUUGACAAGGAAACUACUCAUAUCACUCUACAAUUCAUAAUCCAUUCAUACACAGACACACACAUCAACACAUAAACAACAAAACCACAGAAAUAUUAAUUUAUAAAAUCUAAUUUCUGGGAUCAACACUAAAUUUCCCUGUUUCCGAUCCCCACCACACUCACGAAAUCAUGAUUUGAAAAUUAAAUUAGGUUUUGAGUGAACUCACAAGGUCACAAUAAUUGCUUUCAGGUUCGAACGAGAGAGAACUUGCCCUUUGUGCAGAGCACUGAUUCGACCUGCGACUGAUCUUCAAUCGUAUGGGGAUGGAUCGACGGCGGGGAGAAGAUGGCGGAGAUCGACGGCGUGGAUCAGAGCGGAGGCGCGGUUCUGAAACGACGAUGGGGAGAUCGACGGCGAGGAUUGGGGGCGGAGCUACUGUUGUGUUUGUGUUUG